rnacentral:rRNA from 1 species
AAGUAGUAAAAAUUAAACUAAUAUAGUUUGGCGGCAAAUUAAUAAUCAAAGGAACUCGUGUUGUAAUCGAAAAUCCUCGUUAAAUUUUUCUUUUGAACAAAGUUUAUAUACCGCUGUAUAAGACCAAAACAAAAUUUUUAGCUCUCUAAAAAUUUUUUAAAAAUUCAAGUCAAGGUGUAACCAAUUUAAAAGAUAACAUAAGUUACAUUAAAAAAUAUUUAAGAAAUUUUAAAUAAAAUGAAAAAGAAAAAGGAUUUGACUGUAAUAAUAAAUCAAUAAUUUAUUAAGAAAAAUAAAUUAUUGUGC